AUGUAAAAUAAACAGAAAAUUUCUUAAUAAUAAAAAAUAUUUAAAAAGAGUGUUAUACAAUUUAUGGAUUUUCAGAUUUUACUUGUUGAUUACCAAAGAAGGGUAAUCAUUAUCCAUCUGGCCAGCAAUUAGAUUUUCUUCUAAGAACUGAAUUUGUGAUUAUAAAAAUUUUCCACUUUCUCCCAUUCCACAGGCAGAAACUUAUUUUGAUGGCUUAUCUAAUGAUACAGGAGGGAUUCAUGGUCCUGAUACUCAUCAGUUUAUUAAUACUUCUUUUUCCUGAUCUCAACAGAUCCUGCCACCUCUAGAGCAAUGAAAAGUAGCACUUGAGAAGAAACCAGAAGUCAUCUACAAAUUAAGAGAUUGAUGACACUCAGUGAAGAGCAGAGCUUAAGAAACUGGGUUAAAAUGGUUCCAGACAACAUCUUGUGCUUGGGGACUGAGAAGGAGGUGAACAGCUGGAUGACAACUCUUUGCUUCCACAGUUACGGUAACAUAUGGAUGGACUCAACUGUCUCUGCUUGAUGCCAACAAAUUCUACCAUCUCAUCCUUUGCUGUUUAGAGCCUACUUGCCUAAGCCAUAGGGGCCAUCUCCUAUAUUUAUGCUGACCUCACUAUAGAGACAUUGUAAAGAAAUGGAUAAAACACUGUACAUUUAACCCUUGAGCUAUGUGGAACACAUCUAGACUUUUACCCAAUUGAGGAUGAACUCACUUGAGUGGGAAGCUGAGUUAACCUUGACCAGAAAGCAACCAUGUGAUUUGCUGUCAUAUUGGCUUGUGAUCUUAUUAGUAUGGAUGCAGUAAUGUGACAUGGCCCUCAUUUUUGAUAAUGGUUUAAUUUUAAAAACAGGCCAAUGCCAUCUGAUUACUUUGUUACUGAAACCACAUAGAAUGAACCAAAAUGAAAACAUCCAGAAACAUCAUGGAAACUUAGCUCUCAGGGGAUUACCCCAUUUAGACUCUGAAGAUGACAUCUGACUUCAGUGGUAUGUGUUAGUUUUGAUUUACUGUUGACACAUUGUAUUACCUAAUAUAUUUACUGGUCUACACAGGGGAGUGAAGAUUUUUCUUAACCAUGUCCUUUCAGCACUAGCCAAGUAUCAAAGGAAGUUUCUAACACUUUGCAAUGGUUACAGUCAGAAGGCUCGUGUGAAUUUGCAUUAGUCUUGAGCCAGUCCUGGGAAAUCACCCAUCCCAAGAGAGUCAAAAGAAUAGAUUGCAGGGCGCUAGACAAGCUUCUGCCAGUGAGAAUCUAGGACAUCCAGAGGCUACAGAUUGAAGCUAUCCUGGGUCUUAUUGCCUCCAAUCAUGCCCAUGUCCCCUACUUAGAAUCACCAUGCCUGUUCUUCCUUAAUAUUCUUGCGACUGCACUGGUACCUUUCAUGUUCAUUCUUGUGUCUGCCCAAGCAUGCCCUGGGAACCCAUGCUUUUAUUUCCAUUUUCUUGUUUCUUUGACAUAAACAAGCUAUGGAAAAUAAUUUUUUCAAUAAAUGAUUUCUAUAUGUAGCCCUAUGUAGCUAGAGUUUUCCUGCCUGACCCACAGUCAGGGCAAAUCUCUCUCACCUGCCAGUCCCACAGUCGCUCAGACCCAACUAAGUAAACACAGAGACUUAUAUUGGUUACAAACUGUAUGGCCGUGGCAGGCUUCUUGUUAACUGUUCUUACAGCUUAAAUUAAUCCAUUUCUAUAAAUCUAUACCUUGUCACAUGGCUCGUGGCUUACUGGCAUCUUCACAUGCUGUUUCUCAUCAUGGUGGCUGGCAGUGUCUCUCUGCCUCAGUCUUCCACUUCCCAGCUUUAUUCUCCUCCUUGUCCCACCUAUACUUCUUGCCUAGCCAAUGGCCAAUCAGUGUUUUAUUUAUUGACCAAUCAGCAACACACUUGACAUACAGACCAUCGCACAGCAGCCCUGGAUGUCCUGGAACUCACUUUGUAGAUCAGGAUGACCUUGAACUUGUAGAGAUCCACGUGCGUCUGACUCCAGAGUGCUAUGCUUAAAGGCAUGUGUCAAGACCACCCUGCUCAGAAAAAGAACAUUAUAAUGUUGUUUAUUUUCAGUUAUUGCGACUGGAGAGAUGGCUCAGCAGUUAAGAGCACUGGCUGUUCUUACAGGGGACCUGAGUUCAAUCCCAGCAACCACAUAGUGGCUCACAACCAUUUAUAAUGGGAUCUGAUGCCCUCUUCUGGCCUGCAGGCAUACCUGCAGACAGGGAACUCAUACAUUAAAAAAAUCUGUCUAUUCUCAGUUAUUUUAUUUUAUUUUUCUAUUUUCUGCAUCCUGAAAUCUCUAAACUAUGACUGCUUAAUUCCACAUUACUUAUGGUAAUUUAUAUUGAACCUUUUCUUACCUGGACAGCCUGAUUUAUUUAGAAAGCCAUCUCUAAAAAGCAGAAUUUAGCCUGUGUGGUUUCAUGUGCUUUGACUUCUUUGAUCAUGAGUGCUGACUGCCACACAGCAUAAUUUAAAAAAAGUAUGAGGUGACUCUUCACAUUCAAGUGUUUUGUCUGAUAUAGUACUUUAACUUUUAUUACAGUAAUCUCUGUACACCAUUCACAACACAACAUAUGAUAACACUCAUCUAGACAAAUCUACAAAGGUUAUAAGGAAAUAGGAAGACAUGUUCAUUCAGUCCCACUAAUUGUUUCUGAAUUCAAUAGCAAGCCUCUUGGUGAAUGUAAACUAAACUGGUGAAAUUUAUAAGGAGACAAUUCCCUUUUGUAUAUUGCUAUUUUUCACAUGCAAGAUAAAUAUGUCAGUAGUAAAAACAACUGUACUUUUAUUUUGAAUUUUAUAGUGGAGUUUUGUUGGAUGUUGUAAACAUCAAUUUGAUGAUGUUUUGGUAUAUAUUUGUUGCUUCUGUGUAUCUGUUAUAGACAACAAUUAAAAAUUGUAAUCAUUUUUAUGAUAAAGAUGCCAUGUAUUAUAUGGACAAUGUCUUGUUUUUCCUGUCUGAUUUAUUUUAAAUGUAUGUAGCAAGGAAACUUUAAUUUAUUUCCCUAUCUUAUUAUGUAUUUUCUCUUUAGCUGUCUUUUAUUAAAGUGGUAUUUCACAGAGUCAUCAUAAGUCUAAUAAUUGCCAUCUUCCUAAAUUCAGCCAUGCCUGUGUAUAAGAGAUGACCAUCACCAGGUUUGUUGAUUGUUGAUUUUCUUUUAUAAAACAAUGUCUGGUAAUGAGGUUCACUGGACCAUCAUUCAGAGCACCCAGCAUCUCUCCCAACAAAUUAAAUAUAAUUCUGCCCUGAUUCAUGUGAUAUCAUGGGGUUUAGGAGCAGCUAGGCUUUAUAUGUAGGGAAGACAAAUGUUCCACACCCGCCACUGUAGAAAAGUCAGUAUACAAACAAAGUGGAGACAUUCCCAUGUGGUUGCCUUUGGUUACUCACACUCCUGUCAGUAUCCCCUCAUCCAUUAUCAGUAAGUAAGCCCAAAAAACUCACUGGUUCCACAAGGUAGACUCUGGUGAAAGUGUGCCUUUAUUUCUAAUUGGAAUUUAACAGGGAGGUGAAAGACAUUCCUUCAUCUUCCAUGCACAGGAUUAAAUCUCAUAACAGAUCAUAAAUUUAUUUGUUAAUAUUCCUAUGUCUGAUAGUUAUGCAGAAAAGAAACUAUAAGUAAAAGAAAAUGUUAGAAAUAUCUGAAUAUGGAAAUGGCCUUUGUAAUGAAGGAUUUAGAUGGAUGAAGAUGCAGAUGGUUGGAUUUUUCCAGAAUAAAAGAUUAGAAAACAUUUUGUAAGUUUUGAGAUUCUGAAUAAGUUAUUGAAGGAACAUAAAAAAAUGAAACUUAGACAUGAUGUACUGUGAAUUAAAGUUGUCAAUGUCAGAGAUCAAGUAUUUCAAAGAUUGGCCAAAAUGUAUGUGAAAUCAAAGUUUAUUAAAAAUGUCUGACUAUUGAAAUAUUAUGAAUAGUUAAAAGUA